GACUGUUUUUUGGCUGCCCAUGGUGUCAACCUUAACGUACAUCAUGCUCUGAAGCCAAUGCGACUGAUCGGCAGAGUAUCAGAAUUGAGAAACUUCGUGGAGAUAUUCCUGCCUACACUUGGAAAUGUUAUCAUCAUCCUUGUCGCCUACCUCGGUUUUGCUGUCGUAGCCCUGACGUGGACUGGGCACCUGCUUCUUAGGAAGCGAGCCGGACACAUGUAGCUCCAGCCACGUCGCUGGCAUGACUUCCAGUGAUUUCUUUUUUGUAGAUAGUUUCUUUUUUUUUUUCUUCUUCUUCUUCAUGAUAUCAGUUGUGUCAUUAAGUUAGGACACAACACAUUUGUUUUUUUCAUUUAUAAUUCAUUCUAAAUGUAUUCUCUUGUUUUCUACUUCUUGCGUUUUCAGUACAUCCUGUCAAUUUCACUUCAAUCUUGUAAAUUUGUAAACUAUUUUGAUUUAAUAAAUGAAAAAAAAAACAUGA